rnacentral:rRNA from 1 species
CAGAGGGUGCGAACGUUGCUCGGAAUUACUGGGCGUAAAGCGCAUGUAGGCGGGUCGGCAAGUCAGAUGUGAAAUCCCCGGGCUCAACCCGGGAACUGCAUCUGAAACUGCUGGUCUUGAGUACUGGAGAGGGUGGCGGAAUUCCUGGUGUAGAGGUGAAAUUCGUAGAUAUCAGGAGGAACACCGGUGGCGAAGGCGGCCACCUGGACAGUAACUGACGCUGAGAUGCGAAAGCGUGGGGAGCAAACAGGAUUAGAUACCCUGGUAGUCCACGCCGUAAACGAUGGGUGCUAGGUGUCUCGGGUAUUGACCCCUGAGGUGCCGUAGCUAACGCGUUAAGCACCCCGCCUGGGAAGUACGGUCGCAAGACUA